UGGUAAGUAUUCCAGCCGCCUCUGUUACUUCUGCUACCGACAAUGACUGUUU
rnacentral:sRNA from 1 species